UACCCUCUGCUCCCGAAUCUCCACCCAAGACAAGCCUGGCCUCCCCUCGAGAACCAGUCCAGAGCUGGGGGUGGCGGCGCACACCUGCAAUCCCGGCUUCUGAGGAGGCAGCUUAAACUAAACAGCUCGCAGGCGCUCAUCUCGUUAAGCAAGCUGGCAUGGGUGACUCACGUCUGGAAUCCCAGCUAUGCGGGAAACAGAGGGCACUUGGCUUUGUCCCGGAGGUCAUCGGCCCACGCUCCACGUGUCCACCCCACACCCGACCCUCGCACGGGCUCUGCGGCACUGGCUGCUGAUACCAGCUCUCUGAAUGGGACACCGAGGUGUCCUUUGCCAGGGCCAGAGGCUGCUGCAGAAAGACCAGCACUGAACGCGGCCUGCUGUCUGUUGGAAGCCACCACUCCAUUCCUGACCCAGGUCCUUCUGGCCAAGAGCUGCAAGUGCCCUAUUAUUCCCUUGAUUCUUUAAAAAUAAAUAAAUAAACCCAAAUGGGUCA